rnacentral:rRNA from 1 species
GACGUAGGGGGCCAGCGUUGUUCGGAAUUACUGGGUGUAAAGGGUUCGUAGGCGGUGCGGCAAGUUGGGAGUGAAAUCUCUGGGCUUAACCCAGAGGCUGCUUCCAAAACUGCUGUGCUUGAGUGUGGGGAGAGGCGCGUGGAAUUGGCAGGUGUAGCGGUGAAAUGCGUAGAUAAUCUGCAGGAACACCCGUGGCGAAAGCGGCGCCGCUGGACCACUGACUGACGCUGAGGAACGAAAGCUAGGGGAGCAAACAGG